GCCAGGUGUGGUGGUGUGCACCUGUAGUCCCAGCUACUUGGGAGGCUGAGACAGGAGAAUUGCUUGAACCCAGGAGGCAGAGGCUGCAGUGAGCCGAGAUAUGGCCACUGCACUCCAGUCUGGGUGAGAGAGUGAGACCCAGUCUCAA
ensembl:misc_RNA Metazoa_SRP Metazoan signal recognition particle RNA